UGCUGGUCUGAUGGCAGUGGGUUAGCAGAACUUAUUAACAUUAGUGUCACUAAAGGUGGUAUACCACCCCCCAACUGUUAAAUUUGAUUGGCUUUAA
ensembl:misc_RNA Y_RNA Y RNA